CGGGGUGCCCCAGGCUUGAUUUCUUUUCAAUGCUUGAAAUCGUGAUGAGGGAGUUCCAUGUGCUAGCACUAUCGUGUUAGCUGUUCUUUUGUCUAAAAAACAGAACAACUCAUGGCCGGUGUAAGAUUAGGUGCCAGCACGUACCCGGUAAUACCCGUCCGCCCUCAGUGCGCGGUCCAUUUUAUCUCGCAUGUCCUAAAACGUCCGUAUCCGGUCUUGUACAUCCUUGGGUAAAUCGCCCACCUUAAUUGUCCGAUAUUCCCGCGGAGACUGCAAGACUUGCGAUCGUGAGAGGUCAUAGGUACUUCUGGGGUAUGGGUAAAAUCCUGUAAUCCUGGAACGACAUCCCGUGGCAAACGUGUCUGACUAGAUCGAAUUCCAUUGUAAGGGACAAAACCCUGGGGCGCUCACGGCAUUAGAUACCCCGGUAGUCCAGGGUGUAAACUCUGCGGGCUUGUUGUUGGGGGUCCUUUGUGGGCGCCCAGUGCCGGAGAUAAGUUGUUAGGCCUGCUGCUUGCGGAUUACGUCCGCACGGAUGAAACUUAAAUGAAUUGGCGGGGGAGCAC
rnacentral:rRNA from 1 species